GAUGAACGCUGGCGGCGUGCCUAAUACAUGCAAGUCGAGCGAACGGACGAGAAGUUUGCUUCUCUGAUGUUAGCGGCGGACGGGUGAGUAACACGUGGAUAACCUACCUAUAAGACUGGGAUAACUUCGGGAAACCGGAGCUAAUACCGGAUAAUAUUUUGAACCGCAUGGUUCAAAAGUGAAAGACGGUCUUGCUGUCACUUAUAGAUGGAUCCGCGCUGCAUUAGCUAGUUGGUAAGGUAACGGCUUACCAAGGCAACGAUGCAUAGCCGACCUGAGAGGGUGACCGGCCACACUGGAACUGAGACACGGUCCAGACUCCUACGGGAGGCAGCAGUAGGGAAUCUUCCGCAAUGGGCGAAAGCCUGACGGAGCAACGCCGCGUGAGUGAUGAAGGUCUUCGGAUCGUAAAACGCUGUUAUUAGGGAAGAACAUAUGUGUAAGUAACUGUGCACAUCUUGACGGUACCUAAUCAGAAAGCCACGGCUAACUACGUG
rnacentral:rRNA from 1 species